rnacentral:rRNA from 1 species
AUUGAACGCUGGCGGCAGGCCUAACACAUGCAAGUCGAACGAGUGGCGGACGGGUGAGUAAUGUCUGGGAAACUGCCCGAUGGAGAGGGAUAACUACUGGACACUGUAGCUAAUACCGCAUACCAUCGGAUGUGCCCCGAUGGGAGUAGCUAGUAGGUGGGGUAACGGCUCACCUAGGCGACGAUCCCUAGCUGGUCUGAGAGGAUGACCAGCAACCCUGGAACGGAGACACGGUCCAGACUCCUACGGGAGGAAGCAGUGGGGAAUAUUGGACAAUGGGCGAAAGCCUGAUGCAGCCAUGCCGCGUGUAUGAAGAAGGCCUUCGGGUUGUAAAGUACUUUCAGCGGGGAGGCGUUACUCGCAGAAGAAGCACCGGCUAACUCCGUGCCAGCAGCCGCGGUAAUAC